rnacentral:rRNA from 1 species
CAGUCGUACCGGCGGAUAAUCAGCCUUUCGGGUGCGAUUCUGUGGGGCGUGAGGAGCUUAACCGCCUUCAUGUUUUGCAUAUUCGUGCACAUUUGGUGUACUUGUCCGUGUGGUGGGUUAACAUCAAUUUCGGUCGUCAUAAAAUGAUUGGGAGGAGUGUAGCUUUAAUCUCGUAUUGAAGUGUUAUAGCCUCUGGUAGAUGCGGUGACCGAAACUGAGGAUUGCAACG